CUCUCUCUCCUGCUGCCAUUGUCCAACCCUCUCUCUUUCCAUCAAACUUGAGGAAUCUCUCUCUCUCUCUGCUGCUCCUUCACUGGCCUAUCUCUCAAACCCUUGCAAUCUCAUUGAAACUCGCCCCUUUCUCUCAAUCUCUCUCCUGACUACCGCUCUCUACCCCUCUUAAUACAUCUCUCGCUACCACUCUCUCUCGAUCUCCCUCUAUGCCCCUCUCACUCUCUAGAAAUAUAACUUAGAACACUAAAAAUUUCUAAAUUUCCCAAAUUUUCUAUGCUUUAUUGUUGCUACAAAGACAAUUGAGACAACCUUCGGUAGAUUGAGGUUCAUCCGAGGUUCAGAUCAAACAAGUACUGUAGAAUGGUGAUAUGCAUCUCAAUCACAUUCCAUAUUGAGGAUAAAGGGUGAAGAAGGCAUGGCCAAAAGAAGAUAGGAAACACAUGGCACAUCAAUUGCUGCUCACUUCAAUAUUGAGAAGGCUAUCUAAAGAAAUCUCUUGCUGCUCACUUCCAAAUGUUAGUAUAAGGUCUUCCCUUUGUCCCUUGUGGAGGCUCAAGGAUGUUUUGGCAAUGAUCCCUUUCAAUUGGUGUGUCACUACACCUAACUGCAUUCUCAUCGAUAUUAGCAUUUGUUUCAACAUUACCAUACUUUUCAGCAUUACAAUUGAUUGUGACAUCACUAUGUGGACCUCCCUUGCGCCUGAAUCGGCUAUCAACUUGACAAAUUACCCUGCGUAUUAUCGCCAUUAUAAAUUCAUGGAGCUCUGCACUCUCUGAAGCACGCUCGAUGAGGUAUCGAGUUGCCUGAUAGACCCCAUUAUAUCGAAUGGAGCGUGGUAGCUGAGUUGUUUCUUGAAUUUGAUUGUCACUCUCAUCGAUAAAAGCCCCAUUUUUUAUAUCAUUUCUCAAAUGCCUCAUUAUGUAUUGUGGGGGGGGUAUUUUAAAUACAUUAUUCACCAUAAAAACCUUCAACAUAUGCCUACAAAGAAGAUCCAUCCUCUCAUAUAAGUGACAGUUGCAACAAACGCUCUUGUCAUUGGAAUUGAAUUCAACAAGGUAGAGUCUAGAUUCAUUGCCACCUUAAUAGUGGCAAGCAAUCCAUUGUCUUCAAUUGGUUCACUCACCAAAUUAAUACAAUUCACAACCUCUUCCCCAAAUAGCUUCAUAAUCUUUUGAGUAUAGAUCUUUGCUGCCUGGGCCUCAAUAAAAGAAGUUGUUCUCAA